rnacentral:rRNA from 1 species
GUAAUACGGAGGAUCCAAGCGUUAUCCGGAAUCAUUGGGUUUAAAGGGUCCGCAGGCUGUUUUUUAAGUCAGAGGUGAAAUCCUACAGCUCAACUGUAGAACUGCCUUUGAUACUGGAAAACUUGAGUUAUUGUGAAGUGGUUAGAAUGUGUGGUGUAGCGGUGAAAUGCAUAGAUAUCACACAGAAUACCGAUUGCGAAGGCAGAUCACUAACAAUAUACUGACGCUCAUGGACGAAAGCGUGGGGAGCGAACAGGAUUAGAUACCCUGGUAGUCCACGCCGUAAACGAUGGAUACUAGCUGUUCGUCUAACAUUGGUUAGAUGAGUGGCUAAGCGAAAGUGAUAAGUAUCCCACCUGGGGAGUACGGUCGCAAGACUGAAACUC